rnacentral:rRNA from 1 species
GACGAACGCUGGCGGCGUGCCUAAUACAUGCAAGUCGAACGCAGUGGGGACGGGUGAGUAACCCGUGGGUAACCUCCCAUCAGAGGGGAUAACACUUGGAAACAGGUGCUAAAUUUAUAUUGAUGGAUGGACUCGCUGUGCAUUAGUUUGUUGGUGGGGGAACGGCCCACCAAGGCCACGAUGCAUAGCCGACCUAGGAGGGUGAUCGGCCACACUGGGACUGAGACACGGCCCAGACUCCGACGGGAGGCAGCAGUAGGGAAUCUUCGGCAAUGGACGAAAGUCUGACCGAGCAACGCCGCGUGAGUGAAGAAGGUUUUCGGAUCGUAAAACUCUGUUGUUAGGGAAGCGGUAACUAACCAGAAAGCCACGGCUAACUACGUGCCAGCAGCCGCGGUAAUAC